AAUUGUUUUGUGUGUUUGCUGUACAUAUCAAUCACACAUUUUAUGGGUUGAACAGCAAAUUGAGUGAAUUUUGACGUGUAUACUAUGAUACAAAAAGCACAACUUUGUCAUUCUAAACGUUUUUUUGUGGCUUUUCUCUUAUUUCUUGUCAAAUUAUGCGCUACAUCAUUAUCAGCCAACAUACAUAUGACCAUUGUCGAGAUGACCAGCAGCAAAACAGAAAUGAUAGGUAAUCAAACCAUCACACAUGCCCCUGAAUUCAACUGGAAUUCCUAUGAGAAAGGUAUAGUUCUCAGUGCUGAUUCGUAUGGUGGAUUGUUUUCCAUGUUAGGAGGAUACUUGGCUUGGAAAUUCGGAGGCUCAACAAUGAUAUCCAUGUGUACAUUAACCCCUUCGAUUUUAACAAUUCUCGGACCAGUUUUGGUGCGGUACAGUUUUUAUUUAUUUUUUGUUGUCCAAGCUGUGGCAGGUGUUUGCCAUGUAUUCGUGUACGUGAGUAUUUCAGAAUUCUGGAGUCAAUGGUCGCCAAUGCAAGAUAGGUCUAAACUUAUAUCAAUCGGAUUUAGUGGAAUAUAUGCCAGUUCAAUAAUAACAUAUCCGCUCUGUGGAUUUUUAAUACAUCAGUUUGGUUGGCCAGCAGCGUUCUAUUUCACAGGAGGAGCUUGCUUUGCUGCCUCUCUAUGUUGGUCUAUAAUGAUCCCCAAUGAACCAUCAUCAGCUAAGUGGAUUUCCAAAAAAGAGCUAACUUAUAUAAAGCAGAAUCAGGAACAAUUGGGGAAGCCCUCAAGUGUUUUGUCACUUUUUAAAAAUAUUAUCACAUCCAAACAUGUCUUGGCACUGGGUGGUGCCAAAUUUGCUUAUAAGGCUGGACACACCAUUGCUGUAACAUACCUGCCAACUUAUAUAAAAGAUACAAUCAAUGCUGGAAUCCAAAAUAUUGGUAUUCUCGCAUCCAUUCCCAUCACAGUAUCUGUAUUUGCCCUACCAUUAGUAGGCUAUGCCAUUGACACUCUACGAAAUCAUGACUUAUUGACUUUGACACAGCACAUUUCAGGUUCACAAGUUGUUCAUCAGCAUAGGAUUUGUUGGCGGAUCUUUUCUGUUAUUCCUGAUUGCCUAUUAUUCUUCCAUAUUCAUGAUGUCUAUCAUAUGCUUGACUAUUUUCAAAAUUAUUCUAACUACAAGCUUUGUUGUCACUAUAUCAAUGUCCAAUUUCUUAGCACCCCAAUGCGCUAGUCUGGUGAAUGGAUUUGUGGCAAUGUUCUUUCAUCUCAGUGGAAUUGUAAAUCCCAUACUGAUUGGCUUCAUAGUGACUGAUCAUAGUUCAUCUCAAUGGAGUGUAUGUUAUUGCACUGUGGGUUUGAUCUUACUUGUUGGUGCUAUUUUGUUCCUCAUUUUUUCAUCUAGUGAACCUGAAAACUGGGAAAAUAAGUCAGAUAGUGAACAAGAUUGUGAAAAUAGAUAAUCAACUGAGUGAAUGAAUUAUUACAAAAAAAAAAAAAAAAAUUCAUAAUAAUGAUAAUAAUGAGACAAAAAUUAGAUCUAAAAA